GUUGUGCCGCUGCUUAUCCCUUUGUGAGCUCCACAUGGCAAAUCGGAAAUGCUGACCGCCGCCGUCGCACUCCCCGGCCUGAUGGCAUGGCUGCUACUCCUUGCAGAUUGAUCUGCAAGCUCUGGCGUUGCACGUUAGUUUGGCAGUGGGUUACAGCGGCAGGCUAUCGUUGAUUAUGGCCUAGAGGAUGUGUGUUGCCUGAUCUAGAAUAGCAUUUCAGAAGCUCAGUUGGAAUCUGUGUGCACGUGAAGCUUCUUACUAAAACUUUUCAAUACCGAGUUGUAAUUUUUUGCUUGAAUUAUCAUUAUCAUGUAAUAUAAUGUGCUCUUGCUGUGAACUAACUAAUUUUCUUUUGCUUAAUUUGUAUUGUAGGCUGGUAUAGACCUUCUGUCAUUCUGUGAAAAUUGGAGAACAAAUUUGGCCUUCUAUUCAUGUUCCCUCAGUAUGAUAGGAUUUUUUUGCUCAUCAUUUGAUUGUUUACAUAUUUGCUAUCCUCUUCCUUAUGUUUAGAUUGGAUCUGUUUCUCUUCCUUUUAGGUUAUCAGGAAUGGCUUUGCAAAAAGCAUGUAGACUAACGUACCCUGCCCCCUUUUUUCUUGCUGUGUUCGGCUGUUGGUAGUCUAGAUUUGAGAAGUUACAGUGUAUGUGCUUGAAUAAAGCACCUUGCUAUGGAUAUUUGUGCGCCUGAUAAGUCAAUCUGGGAGUACGUAUUUGAUGUUUCAGUUCAGUGGUAACAAUCAAAAUAGGUGAUCCUAUGACACUCCAGCUAAUGCUAUUAGUUGGUGGGUUUUCUUUUUUUUCUGGGAUCAGUUGCUGGUUAUUGUCUAUUGUUAUAUUACAUCAGUCGAGAAAUGGGCUUUUUAGGGCUAGCAUUCUUUCCUAAAAGCAUCAGUUUUACAGUUUAUCUGUUACUGUGCAUGCUUGAACAUGAAAUUUCUGCCUCUUGCAUUUUCUUUGCUAAGCAAUAGCAUAGGCCUAACAUGUCCCUCUACAUUUGCAUUGCAGUGUUCUGAAAAUUGAGAGCUCAGAUGAUAAGAUAUGAUAUGUAUUGUCAGCUAUGCACAUAAAGUCUCAUAACUGAAACAUGGUAAUCAAAUUUAAGUACCAAAAAGGGGACUGCAGGCUUCAACUUCAGUUAAGAAUAAUCUUGUGAGAGCCUCAACUAUUGAUUUGAAGGAGUAUAAAUGUAGUCAGAUGCAGGAGAAUCCCUGAGGAGUUUUUUUUUUUUUGACAUGAGAAUCCCUGAGGAGUUGAUACAUAACGUCUUCUACAAAGCAUGAAGAAUAGUAUACGAUGUGCUACAUGGCUGGAUAGCAAGAUAUAGGGAAAACGUGAGGUCAAGAAGAAGAUGUGCCUUCCGCCGAGGCCCUCACCAUCGUGCUUCCUGGUGUUUUGAGCGCCUGUGUCACCGUGGCUAGCUACACCCGCACCAUCGCAUUCUUUUCCGCGUGUGUGUCGCUCUUCCUGCUCCACCCAGGGUGCUCCCAUCCUCCUAGCGUGUAAGGAGGCCGCUAUUGCCCACGCCGUCCAGCGUGGUAGAGGCUAUUGCUGUGUACAUCUUUUCAUAGAUAUCCAGCAUUCCAUGAAUUUGUAUUAACUUUUUGCCCUUUGUUUCAAAUAUUUGCAUUUGAUGGUUUCCUGCAAAUGACAGAAUGUUGCUGUGGAGAAAUGUUGCGAGUGUUUCAGAUAUCUGCAAAUGAUCAGCUAUGCCCCUUUUUCUUUUCCCCAGACUGCUAGAGAGGUUCACGUCAUUUGUGGCAGUGUUUCCCAUCUUUUGUGAUGUUACCAUACAAAGAGCAAUCUCAUGGGCUUCCAGGUUCCAGCAAAUGAUCUCUUCUGAUUCUGAUCAAAGAUGAAGGUAACAUUGAAGCCAGCUCAAAAAGGAUAGUACAGUGUAAAGUGCCUCCGAUUUAUGUUGUAUAAUCACUACUCUUUAAGAAAUACUCCCAUAUGUUACCAAAUUGGAAAUGCUGCUAUUCAUUUCUUUCCAUUUAAUCAAAAUGCUAUUGUAUAUUCUUCAAUACUUUUUCUCUCAAAACAGGUCGUGCUGUAGAUCAUGUUUUUUUUCCAGGGGUGUUGUUCAGGAUGUUUCACUCACAAAUAAUACUACAUCGAUCCCCCUUAAGAGAAAAUAGAAUAAAUUGAAUAAAGUUUACUGUCACUUUAAGAGUUAUAUUUCUGAACCUGUGCCUUGCCUGCCUUAGUUGUGACAGCAUAUCCUUAUGACUUUGUUUAGGAUGCUUAAGUUUCUUCCGCAUUGCCCACUCUGCUCAGAAGUGUAUGUGACGUUUUAUACUGAAGCAUGCUGCCACAUUCAGCUUAUUCAACAUAAUUUGCUUACCACAUUCAGUCUUAGAUUAUUGUAUGGAGUAGCAUGUUUUAUGUCUUUUACAUGCGACGGGCGCGGCGUGUCGCCGCGCCAUCGCAGUCUAGUGAACCACAUACAUCUGCAGUGGUAGGAGUAGGAGUAUGCAACUCCACAUGCGUCUCUACCAAUGUUAUCACAAUAGAUUUCCCCUCAUACCCAAAAAGGUUGUUGGGUAGGUCCACUAGCGGCAGGCAUUCAUAGGACAUCUCCAGCGAUACAUACAUCAGACAAGUCGAGGCCAACCGCAUAUGUAUAAAUUUGUAAUGGUACAGUAGGGAAGCAUGCAACUCCACAUACAUAUGUGCAUCGACCAAAGCUGUCACCGUCUAUAAUUUGUCUACAUCCUCCCAAAAAGGGUAUUUGGAACGUCUCGCGCUGAAUGUUCCUAUGGCAUCUCUAGUGUAUAGAGGCAAAAAAAAAAUGUACAGAAAACCCUUGAGGUUGACCUCCUACAUUGGGCCAGACCUUGAGGUCUAACUCAAGCUUCCGGUCAUGGUGGCCAAAUCCGCAUCCAGUGUGGUCAUCGACUCAUCGGGAUGCCGGUUGGUCGGAGAAGGAUUCUUCGAUUGUCCGACAGCAACGAGGGUAUGCAAUAAGCAAUUGCAGCAAUUUCCGCAAGUAAUAUCAUCCCUUCUUGUGAAGACAACUUUAUAACAUGUUGUCAGAAGAAAAGACGGAGUAAGCAUAAUUUGAUCAACAGCCAGCUUUCUUCUGGUAACCGUCAUUAUCAAAAUUCGUUGCAUACUGCAUAAUGGAUAUUCGUUGCAUAUCAGAAGAAAAGAUGGAGUAAGCAAAGCAACUGUCCAAUGAACAACACAUGCACCUAUAGGCUAUAGCCUAUAACACCAGUACUACGGAGUAGUUCUAAUCACAGAUUGGUUGGGAAAUCUGAAGGAAGUCAUCACGCAAUCAACAACAACUUUUCGGUUCUGCGGCACCUCCUCGAUCGCUGAUACUUUAUGCACUUCUGCAAGGAACUAGAUAACAUUAAGAGUUCAUUCAAAGAAUAUCUUAGCCGCAUGAAAAGACCAGCCAAACAUUGCAACAGCAGGGAAGCAACGGAAAUAUCAUCCAGGGUAGGCACAGCACAUGACCCAGUUCCUUACCCCUAUAGGAUGGACAAGAGACGUGCUGCAUUCGUGUAAGCAUAAGAACAUAUCUACAUGGCCACGAUUGGCUCUUCCAGGCCGACCAAUCAAGCUAUGGAAUAGAAAGAAACUAUAUUGGCAACUGAUCUUCUUCCUUUA